UAGCAUUGGUGGCCGUAUUCUUGAUUCAUUUAGGAGUUCAUUGACUCCUAAAUGUGUGCAAGCUCUUAUUUGUGUUCAAGAUUGGCUUAGAGAAGAGAAGAAUCCUAUUAGUGUUGAAGAAGACUUGAAGUAUCUUGAGGAACUCGAGCUUGAUAUGGAAAAUAAUGGAAGCACUACUAGCAUUGUUUGAUGUAUAGUUGCAACUUGCAUCUUGAGUGGUUCAAGUGCAAUCAUGUCU